rnacentral:rRNA from 1 species
CGGGUGAGUAAUACAUCGGAACGUGUCUUCUAGUGGGGGAUAACUGCCCGAAAGGGCAGCUAAUACCGCAUGAGACCUGAGGGUGAAAGCGGGGGAUCGCAAGACCUCGCGCUGGAAGAGCGGCCGACGUCCGAUUAGCUAGUUGGUGAGGUAAAGGCUCACCAAGGCGACGAUCGGUAGCUGGUCUGAGAGGACGACCAGCCACACUGGGACUGAGACACGGCCCAG